rnacentral:lncRNA from 1 species
UGAAAGUCUGAAAUUCCAUGUCUGAUGUUAGGUCAUCACUGCUGAUCAUGAAUUACUUCCUAAAAUCUACUAGAUACGAAGCCAUCAGUGGAAUACAACGAAGAGGGUGAAUGAGGGUUUGCAUAAGCGAGAGGUAGAGAAAGAGAUACCUGAUGGCCGAUGUGGAAGAAGAACGAUUGUCGGACCUUGAAUUGGUAUGCAUCAUUGUACCUCGAAGAUCCUCAAUUCUGAUCUGAUUUUUUUUUCUGAAUUUGGGAUUUCAGGAAGGAGAACGAUGUGAUGAGAUGGAGUAGGGGAG